AUUGAACGCUGGCGGCAGGCUAACACAUGCAAGUCGAGCGGAGAGAGGUAGCUUGCUACUGAUCUUAGCGGCGGACGGGUGAGUAAUGCUUAGGAAUCUGCCUAUUAGUGGGGGACAACAUUUCGAAAGGAAUGCUAAUACCGCAUACGUCCUACGGGAGAAAGCAGGGGAUCUUCGGACCUUGCGCUAAUAGAUGAGCCUAAGUCGGAUUAGCUAGUUGGUGGGGUAAAGGCCUACCAAGGAGACGAUCUGUAGCGGGUCUGAGAGGAUGAUCCGCCACACUGGGACUGAGACACGGCUCAGACUGCUACGGAAGGCAGCAGUGGGGAAUAUUGGACAAUGGGCGGAAGCCUGAUCCAGCCAUGUCGCGUGUGUGAAGAAGGCCUGAUGGUUGUAAAGCACUUUAAGCGAGGAGGAGGCUACUUUAGUUAAUACCUAGAGAUAGUGGACGUUACUCGCAGAAUAAGCACCGGCUAACUCUGUGCCAGCCGCCGCCGUAAAAC
rnacentral:rRNA from 1 species